GCCCGGACGGUCACAUGAUGCAAGGGUUCUCGCCAACUCCGAUCUUUACAGUAUUGCUGAGGACAAGCUUGGUGGAUGGCUUUUCCCUCGAGAGAAAUCGGUGAUCGUACAUGGUGUGGACAUCCCGGUCCAUCUCAUUGGUGAUGCAGCAUACCCAUUACAGCGCUGGCUAAUGAAGGGCUACACCCAGCAUGUUCACUUAUCCCCCGAACAGACAUCAUAUACCCAUGCCCUAAGUUCGGCCCGUAUGGCAGUGGAGAAUGCGUUUGGGCGUUUAAAAGGACGCUGGCGCUGCCUCAUGAAGAGGAAUGAUGUGGACUUGAAAAUAAUGCCAGAUAUAGUAGCGGCCUGCUGCAUUCUCCAUAACAUUUGUGAGAUACAAAAGGAAAACUUUCUCCCCGAGUGGAAUGUACAUGAUCAUGGGGCGGGGGUCACUGUACAUGAUGCACCAGGCUUGGUGGGGCGGCAUGACGCUGCCAGCGAGUGCAUAAGGGCCACCAUUGCAGCUAAUCUUCAAACAAUGUUGCAGUAGAGAAAACAGACAAGUUUUUGUGUGCAAACAAUUUUUGUUUAUUUUGUUUUUUAAGUUAUAAAAAUUUGGUUCAAAA